AUACGUAGGGUGCAAGCGUUGUCCGGAAUUAUUGGGCGUAAAGAGCUCGUAGGCGGCUUGUCGCGUCUGCUGUGAAAACCAGAGGCUCAACCUCUGGCCUGCAGUGGGUACGGGCAAGCUAGAGUGCGGUAGGGGAGAUUGGAAUUCCUGGUGUAGCGGUAGAAUGCGCAGAUAUCAGGAGGAAAACCGAUGGCGAAGGCAGAUCACUGGGACGUAGCUGGCGCUGAGGAGCUAAAGCAUGGGGAGGGAGUAGAAGUAUAUACCCGGGUAUUCCGCGCCGUAAACGAUGGAUACUAGUGGUAGGGGUGAAAAGACUUCUGUGCCGCAGCAAACGCAUUAAGUAUCCCGCCUGGGGAGUACGGCCGCAAGGCUGAAACUCAACUGGAUUGACGGGG
rnacentral:rRNA from 1 species